AAAUAAAACAAAAAAAUAUAAAUUCAAUGCUGACAGUAAACAAAUUUUGGUGGUGGCACUUACAGAUUAGCUAAUCCGUGAGAUGUAACACCAUUGUAUUUUGUCAAUUAAAAAAGAUAUUACAAAAAGGCUUGUC
rfam:Porphyromonadaceae bacterium CG2_30_38_12 cg2_3.0_scaffold_938_c, whole genome shotgun sequence.